GCAGUCGAGCGACUGAUUAGAAGCUUGCUUCUAUGACGUUAGCGGCGGACGGGUGAGUAACACGUGGGCAACCUGCCUGUAAGACUGGGAUAACUUCGGGAAACCGAAGCUAAUACCGGAUAGGAUCUUCUCCUUCAUGGGAGAUGAUUGAAAGAUGGUUUCGGCUAUCACUUACAGAUGGGCCCGCGGUGCAUUAGCUAGUUGGUGAGGUAACGGCUCACCAAGGCAACGAUGCAUAGCCGACCUGAGAGGGUGAUCGGCCACACUGGGACUGAGACACGGCCCAGACUCCUACGGGAGGCAGCAGUAGGGAAUCUUCCGCAAUGGACGAAAGUCUGACGGAGCAACGCCGCGUGAGUGAUGAAGGCUUUCGGGUCGUAAAACUCUGUUGUUAGGGAAGAACAAGUACAAGAGUAACUGCUUGUACCUUGACGGUACCUAACCAGAAAGCCACGGCUAACUACGUGCCAGCAGCCGCGGUAAUACGUAGGUGGCAAGCGUUAUCCGGAAUUAUUGGGCGUAAAGCGCGCGCAGGCGGUUUCUUAAGUCUGAUGUGAAAGCCCACGGCUCAACCGUGGAGGGUCAUUGGAAACUGGGGAACUUGAGUGCAGAAGAGAAAAGCGGAAUUCCACGUGUAGCGGUGAAAUGCGUAGAGAUGUGGAGGAACACCAGUGGCGAAGGCGGCUUUUUGGUCUGUAACUGACGCUGAGGCGCGAAAGC
rnacentral:rRNA from 1 species